ensembl:lncRNA
GGAUACUUUACCACCGGAACACCAGGGAAGCCUCUCUCACGCUAACUUCUUAAAACAGCAAAAGAUUUAGAUGACGCUUCACCAAAGAAGGCAUACAGACAAGAGAUAAGCAAAUGAAAAGACGCUCAACCUCAUUAGACAUUAAGGAAACAGCAAUUAAAACUACAAUGAGAUACCACUGUACACCUAUUAGAACAACUAUGAAUCAGAAGCCCAGCCAUCCUGAGUGCUGGAGGGGAGGUCGGACCCUCAGACAUUGCUGGGAGCAGGGCAAGACGGCACAGUCACUUUGGAAACAUCUGGCAGUUGCUUAAAAGUUAAAUUAGCACCUACUAUGUGAUCCGGCCAUUUCAUCCUUGCUGUUUACCUACAAGAAACGAAAGCAAAUGUUCACUGAAGCUUUAUACAACUGGCCCCAAACUGGAGACAACCCGGAGAUCCACCAGUAGGUGAUGGAUGAACUGUGAUGCAUCCAGAGAGUGGAAGACUCGGCAGCAUAAAGCUCCCGGAAGAAAGGAGUUGGUCUCUUUGAGCUGCAAAUUGUAGCCUCAUCUCCCAGGCCCAGGUGUGGCCCUAGAGAGGUGCUUAGGAAGCACGAAUGAGCAUCCGUGAAUGAGUGACCGCAGCGCGCUGCCCUGGCCUGAUCCUGCAUCCUCCUCGAGGUGUCCCUUCUUCCCCCGAGCGCUGCUGCGCCCACAGGAGGGGAGCAAUCUAUUGCUGCUUCAAGGGUGACUGUGUCCCGCAAACCCAGAACCGAAGUUGGUUCCACGUCAAGAGCUUCGCCAGCCCGGCUUUGGACCAGUUCCCCCUGGAUGGGCAGAUAGAGCACCGUGUGCCGUGACCCGGUCAGUCCAGUCGCUCAGUCGUGUCUGACUCUUCACGACCCCAUGG